rnacentral:snoRNA from 2 species
UCUCUAUGACGAUUAAUUCAUGAUGACGAGUCUGAUUAUCCAUUCUUAUAAUAAAAUCAUGACGACAAAUCGAGGCAUUUGUCUGAGAGAA